UGGGGCGUGGCCAAGUGGUAAGGCACCGGGUUUUGGUCCCGGUAUUUCGAAGGUUCGAAUCCUUCCGUCCCAG
rnacentral:tRNA from 1 species